ensembl:rRNA 5S_rRNA 5S ribosomal RNA
GUCUAUGGCCAUGCCACCCUGAACAAGCCCAAUCCUAUCUGAUCUCAGAAGCUAAGCAGGGUCGGGCCUGGUUAGUACUUGGAUGGGAGACCAGCUACGAAGAAAAGAAAAUUGGGAUAAUAUAGAGA